UUCAGUCACUUCAUAUCUAACUUCAAACAGCAAGUCUGUUUGCUUUUCUAUCACAACAGCUUAGCAGGGAAGUCUGGUACUGGUUCUGUUGCAGUUCUGCUGAAACUCACACAUUGGGACUGAUUGUUUCUCUGUUUCAGCUGCGGGCUCGUUUGAUGAUGAGUGUCGUUGCAGUCCAGUCUGUGAAAAUGGUGACAGCCAACAUGUUGCUGAGUGUCUUCUUUGUUUCAGAUGCUCUGGCUGCUUGUUCUGACAAUCCAGACCUAUUCAUUACUGCACCAAAGCAGAUGGAAGCACUGAGUGGAUCUUGUCUGCUAAUCCCAUGUAACUUUAGUGCUAAAUCAGAUCAGGAAUUCAACAGAACAAGAACAACCUUCAG